AAUGAACGUUGGCGGCGUGGAUUAGGCAUGCAAGUCGAGCGCGAACCGUAGCAAUACGGGGAGAGCGGCGCAAGGGAGCGGAACACGUGGAUACGUACCCUCGGGUUCAGGAUAGCCAUUGGAAACAAUGGGUAAUACUGAAUAACAUCUCCGGAGCAAAGGUUGGUAUCCGCUCGUGGAGCGGUCCGCGUGUGCCUAUUAGCCGGUUGGUGAGGUAAUGGCUCACCAAGGCAAAGGUGGGUAUGGGGUGUGAGAGCAUGUCCCCACCCACUGGGACUGGGACACUGCCCAGACACUUACGGGUGGCUGCAGUCGAGAAUCUUCGGCAAUGGGGGAAACCCUGACCGAGCGACGCCGCGUGCGGGAUGAAGGCCUUCGGGUUGUAAACCGCUGUCAGAGGGGAGGAAAUGCCGGUGGGUUCUCCCAUCGGUUUGACCUAGCCUCAGAGGAAGGACGGGCUAAGUUCGUGCCAGCCGCCGCCGUAA
rnacentral:rRNA from 1 species